UGUGGAUGCUCUUACACUAUGACAGGUUGAAAUGGUUAGGACCCUAGGAUUUUUACUUCUGACCCUGAAGAAAUGGGUUAAUUUACUAUGUUGAAUGCAGAAAGACUGUAAUGUUUUGGGCUUAAAGUAUCAAUAAAAUAAACUUAUAUUGGCUGAUAUUGCAAGGUGAUUAUCUGGUACAACGUCUAACUAGUUGUUUGUUUCUGAAGACUGCAGCUUUGGCUCAAAAAAAUUCUGAGGCCACUCGAGCAUUAGCAGUGCAAGAAGACAAUCUGGAAAAGGAGCUUGGAGAAAUUCAAAAGGUUUUGUUGGCUAUGCAGGAGCAGCAGCAAAAACAACUUGAGCUGAUUCUUGCGAUUGCGACUUCUGGGAAGCUUCGGGAAAGUAGACAGGUACGCGAUCAAGAACAAAGUACCACUAUAAUACGUGAUUCAAGUGAGGAGGAUUCAAAACAGAAGGAAGCCCACCAAAUAUAGUAUUUGGACGGAAGCAAUGCAGACAACCAAGUAUUUGGUAGCUACUAAUCCUAAUGAAACCAUUUUUCCAACGUUGUUGUUGGCCACGAGUCAAAUAUGUGGAUUUCCUCUCAGACGGGUUCUGCUGCUGAUUAUCAACGCAGCUGAAUCGUGGGGGCAUCGCGGGCUUUCAGCCAAGGGAAAAGUUUCAUAUGCUUUUUGGAUAUAUGCAGUGCUGGGUGGUAAAGGAUAAACAACAAAGAAAGAAUAAUUGUAAAACAGAAAUGCAACCAUUUGAGCAGUACAAUUGUACUAAUAAGGUAGGAGUGGAAUUUCUGCUCAUUCGUGUUUUGUAAUUCUUAGUUGUGUGCGCAUCUGAUUUCUUGUCGCUAUUUAUAUAUUGAUGAUUUCCAGUAUCAUCUUGGUCUUAUGUAACUGACCUUCAAACUGGUAUUAAGAACAGAUAAGUGAUUCCCUCAAA